AUAUGACCCUUUCAAAUUAAUGAUUUCAUUUUAAAAUGUAACUAAAUGCUCUCUUACUAUCUUACCUGUCUUCACUGAAUUGCACUUCCUUAUUUUAAAGGGUGAUUGUUCUGUCAUUUCCAGAUUGAAGACAAUCCUUGCUAGAGAAGUUGGGAAGAAAGAGUAAACUGAUCAUCAUAAAGUUCUGCUGUCUAGUUCUGCUGACUUCAUCAACAUUAUGGCAUCUUUUCCAGAAUGCUAGCCUAUCCUUCACAUGUUCUUGCUCAGAACAUGGCUGGUAUCUCAUAGUGCCAGUCAUCAUUCAUAAUUACAAAGAAAGGUUAAAUUUACCUUAGUGUCGCCAGAUGUUAUGCACAUUAUAUUUCCAAAUAUAAUUUUAAAAAAUUUCAUUCAGGCUAUUUUCUAUCAUGUAAAA
rnacentral:lncRNA from 10 species